rnacentral:rRNA from 1 species
GACGUAGGGCGCAAGCGUUGUCCGGAUUUAUUGGCGUAAAGAGCUCGUAGGCGGCUUGUCGCGUCGACUGUGAAAACUCGAGGCUCAACCUCGGGCUUGCAGUGGAUACGGGCAGACUAGAGUGCGGUAGGGGAGACUGGAAUUCCUGGUGUAGCGGUGGAAUGCGCAGAUAUCAGGAGGAACACCGAUGGCGAAGGCAGGUCUCUGGGCCGCAACUGACGCUGAGGAGCGAAAGCAUGGGGAGCGAACAGG